rnacentral:lncRNA from 1 species
UGCCCUGCCCUCAACCCGCCCCGCCCUUUCUCCCUGUGUCCCAAACGUAAUGGCAUGUACUGUAGCGGUGCUGAGCACACCAAAGCAGCCAAGCAGGUGGCUGCAUAGACCAAAGUGGGUAGGAGCCCUCACAGUCACAUCCACCACAGGCGUACCAAUUCUGCGACUUCAUUAAGUAGUCUCUUACACACAUAGAUUAUUCGGCGCGAAUCCUGGGUCAAUCCUGGAGGCUACGAGAAAGUCAUUUGGGCGUCCCCCGGCGGGGGGACGCGAAAUCAUCUUUGUCUAAACGUCAAGUAGCGAUGUGCUAUAUCGCAAUUCUGCUUCCAGAGGUAAAUCUGUAUAUAGUUAAUGCACUAAGACCAGCUCUUACCCCACGGGAACGACCAACGUCAUAAUUCUCAAGGUUUCAGUCGUGUACCCACCGCUCUUUCGCAGUAUCAGAGCCACAAUAGUCAUGUUAUAGUACAUAGCCGUGAAGUAAACACAAUUUUGCCCGGGACCCUGGCUUGCCAUGCGCCCAUGCAACGUCGGCGGCAUGCCAAUCAAGCAUUUCAGGAGUUCACUUCAUUUCUCUGCAGUUCUGCGUUCAUUAUAUAUCUAUGUCACAUACAAAUGAAUCAAGCUAUUUGAUUAAUCAACCAUUCUUUGCGUCGCUAUGAUUCUGAGACGACUGUGCUCGAGCGGCGGAUGCCUUCGUUCGCGAUAACCCCUGUCGACUAUAUGCAGCGACAGUGCCAACAAUGCAAUCUUGAAUGGAGUAAUGAAGCUGGCUGGCUCAUAUUUCAUAAUAACGAGCUCGCCGGUCAACAAGUCAACCGCGCGUUGACCGGGGCGUUUCCACUCUGCAAAUGGGCCCGGCAUAGUGCCCUGUGAUUGCUGGCUCAGGUAAUAUGUGCAUUGCACUGAGACAAUGCCCAGAGUUGGUUUUAUGUACAUACUGUGCGGGUCCACAAGUCAACAUUCGCGCGCGCUCGCUUGUCGCCCGCAGGUCUCUGAGCCAGGCGCAAUGGCGUACAUUAGCUCAGGGUCCGCCGUGCGUGCGCCCGUUUUCACGGCUGGUGUCAAGGUUGCAGGUUGGGCUGCGAGCUGAUGGCGCGUGGUCUCAAUGCCCGCCGUGCUCGCGCCCCUUCCCGCGGCUGGUGUCAAGCCCGCAGGGUAUGGAGCUAGCUGCUGGUGCUAGGGCUUGGAUUCGGUUAAGGCCCGCCGUGCUCGCACCCUUUUCCGCGGCUGGAUGGUGUCAAGCCCGCAGGUGGUGGCGCGCCGUGUGCCUGGCCUACGCCCCAAGGCCCACCGUGCUCGCGCCCUUUCCCGCGGCUGGUGUCAAGCCCACAGGUGAGCUACUGGCGCGAGGACUGCAGUCAAGCAGUAAGUUUGCAAGGCAGUGGCAUGGUCCUGGGGACACGGAGGGCAGCUUUGGGGCAAGGGACGGGCCCAUCCCUUCAAUCCCGUCUAACAUAAUGCACCACAUUGCUGCCGCAGGGAUGGAUGGUGGAGCGAGCUAAGACAUAUGCUACGGUGUUGGCGCAUGGUGUCCAUGACGGUGCUGCUUAGUGCUCAAGUGGCUGCUAUGGAUUGUGGAGGCCAGACCAUGCCUAGUCACUUGUGUGAAUCAGCUUGGAGGUAGGCUUCCCAGCUGCAAGGGACUUCGUCCCUGUGGUCUUCUGUGGGGCAGGGCGGGACAAGUGCGGGGCAAGUGCGGGGCAUGGCGGGGCAAGUGCGGGGCAAGGCGGGGCAUGACCCCUGCGGUCUUGUAAUAGCUGUUGGAUGCCUACUGCGCCUCUCUCAUGGACGGGGCGGGGGCUGUAGCGUGGCUGCGGGACAAACAGCAGCAGCAGGGUAAAGGGAGCAUAAGGGAGCCUGGCCCACUCAUCUGCGUGGGGGGUUACCCAUCUGGCCCGGUAACCCGUUAAGGGGGGGGGGGGUUGCCCGCCUGGCCCAGUUUCCUCGGGGGCCAGUUAGGGGCCCACCCCCGUUGAGUGAUCCCCAUCACCAGUUAGGGGGGGGGGGGGUUAGGGGCCGAAACACUGACGUAGGGUUGGCGGAGUGGUACCCACGUGCCGACAGAUGGAUCGCGGGAUUUGUUUUUGGCAUUUACCGCUUGGAUUCUAUUCGCAACGUAGCUCGGAAUACACGCUUAAUAUGCAUAGUUAGAAGACUUUGGGGACGCAAAUCGCUUGGAAAUGGAGGAGGGUCUCAAUAUGCUCGGCUCGCGAUGUCGCGCUCCUGAGCUUGUAUUAUGCACUGCGCGCAAUACGCGUUCAGCAUGCAUAUUCUUACGAACAACUAGGGACUUGAGUGACGCGGUGUGAAAAUCAGUCGGGGUCUCGACAUGCUUGGCUCGCCAUUUCGCGCUCACGAGCUCGUUGUGUGUGUUCCGAACAUUGCACGCUCAAAAUACAUGUUCAAUAUGUCCGUCGCGAUGUUGGAGCUUCAAAACCGACAAGCAUGGUGUAUAGAUACACCUGGUAGCCUGAAUUCCUGUUUUUUCGCAAUGUCGGUGCAUUUUGUUGAUGUUGCAUCAUGUCGUGCUUCAUCGCAUUCUUGAUUUCUGCACCGGCGUGGUCUUGUUUGUAAAAUUCCGCGGUGCCCUGAUCUUAUUUUGUUCUUCGCUGUGAUCUGGCAAAAAAAUCUGAUCUUGGCGGGAUUCGAACCUGUGACAGCAUCUCACUAAGGGCCAUAUGUCGUGCGGAUGGGCAGGCGGUACGGCUGCAGCCACCAUGGCAACCGUGUCCCAAGAUCAGAUGUGCAGCAACGUAGCAACUGCCUGUUCGGGCGCGUUGACGCCUUCUUCUUCAAGUUCGAAAUGAAUCAGCGCGGAGAGCUGCACGUGCACGGCUGUAUCUGGCAGCCCGGGCUGCAGCCAGCACGCCUGCGAAAGGCGCUAGCGGACCCGCGGAGUUGUCCCGACGUGCUGGACUUCCUGGAGUCCGUGCAGACGCAGUGGUUUGCCUCACCGCUGCUGUUCAGCGGCGGCGAGCGACCGGUCCACGCUCAGAAGCUCAGCACCGAGCAGCUGCAGGAGGUGGCUGAGGCGGCUGGCAGCGAGCGCUUGACGGAGCUGCAGCGGGACGUUCUCAGUCAGGUGCUGGCAGGGGUGCGGGGUGGCCAACUCGGCCCAUGUGAUCGGUAACGGUCGGCAACCGCCCCCAAUUCCCAGUUGCGACCAGGCCCCGGCCCGAUUUCUUUGCAUAGACCUAUAAGGAGUACCCCAUAGAAGACCCCUGGCGCGCCGGGCGACUAUAUGACGGUGGUCGAAAACAUGCUUGCCGACGCAAAUUGGAACCUCGGCUUGGAGGCAGGGAGAGCUGCGCGAUAGCAACCUAUGGACCUGUAUUACAUUGGAGUUCUGAAGCAGCUUUGUUUCAGGACUUCGGGGGCCUACUACAAGCAGGGAGGGGCUUCCAUGCGACCGGCGAGGUGCAAUUUCGAGCCGGAGUUCAAAAGCAAGACUGCGCAAUAGCAGGCGCCAGCGCUGCUUUGAUACUUGACAUGUAACAACCAAUUUGGGCGCAUAAAACAAGUGGGGCCGGUUCAGGACGGCCUUGCCGGACGUCGCCAACUUCGCGCCCCCCUGUGCAGGCUGUGUUAAGCCGCUGGGCACUGUGCCCCUCUCAUUCCCCGAGACCGGCACGAAGCCAUCCCCGCGCACCCGGCUGAGCUUGUUGGUUACAUAAUGGAUUCACAGUGCUGGCUUGCUAAGUUGAGCGCCCAAACACAUGUGCCAAACCAGGUCCGUUGCUAGCGCAUCCACGCGCACCCAGUCACCCCUGCCACUCCAUGCUCCUAGUCCUUUUCACUCGUUGCAGGCGGAUGAAAUGCUCUAUGCGCCCUUUGCAUGCAUCCACGCAUACCGUACAUACACAUAUACCUCUAACACUUCCCAUGCAUCUGCAUUGCUUGCCCUGUGACCUCUCCAUCCCCUCCAGCACCUCCCCUCCAGCACCUCCCCGACCUCGAACGUGGCAUACCCCUAACCCACCUCGAACGUGGCAUACCACUCCUCAGACCAUAUCGUACGUCAUUUGCACUAGGUUACUACUGCAGUUAAAAAGGGGUGCGUGGCACAACUAGAAUCCAGGGCGCAAUCAGCGCGUACGUGUACAUACAUGGUCAGGCCACUAAGGCCGCUAUGACUGACACAGCCCACAUCACCAGUUCACGGUUGCAUUCCAGAUGUACAGAGGGGCCACUAGUAUGCCGUGUGUUGAAAUGGCAGCAGACAUGUACAGCUGCAUAAACAAACCACGUCGAAAACACGUGUGCGCCACUGCCAUAAAGUGUGUGUGCGGCAAUCCCUGCUUGUCAUGCACUUGCUGCACUUGUUUUAUUCGUGCCACGCCCGACCAAGUACUAGUCGACAUCAUAUCGCGUACAGCGCGCUACUAUGUUACUUAUUCGUGGUGUAUGUGCGCAUACUACAAUGCUGCUCCUGCGUCACAUCCCGCGUCACACAAUCAAAUGCAUGUAAAAGGUCCCAGCCUGCUGUUGUGUACUUCACUUUCAUUGCUCAGUAUGAAAGCAGCCAUCAUGAAUGCAUGAAAAUACUGUAAACAUGUAUGCAUUUGGGAGACAUAUGCUCAUGGGCGCUUGCGCUUGUCAGCCGGCUUCACCGGAGACACGGCCUGAAGGCGCUUGGGCUGAAAGCGCACACGCAUAGGUUGCGUGCGCAGCUGCUCGGGCUCCGGCUCCGGCACCGGCACCGCCAUACGCGCAUCACCAGGUCCGUCAACAUCCAUGGGCUGGGUGUUGGUGUCCUGUCCGCCUGUUCCACCCCGGCCCCGGCCCCGUCCACGGCCCCGCCCUCGGCCACUGUCCAUGCUGGCCGCUGGCGCGAGUGCCACCGCGUCCUUGUCAGCAGCGGGCUGUCCGCGGCCCCUGCCCCUGCCCCUGCCGCGGCCCCGCCCGCCCGCACCGCCCGCACCCAUUACCGACGUACUGCCAGCCGCCAGGGGCUGUGCCGCCCCGGUGAGGGCCGCAGAGCACUCAUGGCAGAACCACUCCUCCUCCAGUGCAGGCAUCUUGAUUGGCGGGUCAAGGCAGUGGGUAUGAUACGGCGAACUGCAGCGAGAGCACAGCAACAUGUUCUCUGCAGGCUGUGGGCGCUCGCAAACCAAGCAGCAGGUUGAGGCGUCAACCAGCUUGGUUGGCUUGCCGCCCUUGGACUUUUUGGCGGCGUCCGCACGACGCUCAUCCCGCAGUGCGCGAGCUGCCGCGUCGUCUUUGCCUGCCAGCAGCUGGGUGUGGCGCAGCAAGCCCACCAGGUUGGCGUGGAUGUACUUGCUGACUAGGACACCCAUAGCUGCGCGGACGUGCGAGCUGCUGCCUGUGCCGACUGUGCUGUCCUUUGCAGCCUGCUGGUACGCGGCCUGAAACCUCUCCCAGCAACCCUGGUCGCAGCGGAUGCGCCCGAUCAGGUCCUUUACUGCGUACGCGCCGUCCUGCAGCACCAUGUUCGCGCAUUGAAAGCGCUCAAUUAUGGUGGGGUGAAGCUCCACGAAGAAGCUGACUAGCGCCGGAUGGGGGACAUACAGCUUCCCCUGCGGCAGUGACUCCUGUAGCUCAUCGUUGAAUACGCGCCGGUGGGUGCCAUCUGCUCUGCCGCUGACAAACUGCUGCAGGAUGCGUCGCGUGGGAUCCGCUUCAGGUGUCGCUUUGAUCGCGCUGUGCAACGCCCACCCCAGAACGCGCUCGCACGCGGUCGUGCUGCUGUACAGCUCGAACACCUGAGCGUGCACCGCCUUCUCUUCCUGCUGUGCCUUUGUGCCGCCGUGGUGUGCGUCCGGCAUCAGGACCGCAUUCAACACGCCCAGACUGUAGGCGGCGUUGAAGCAGGCCCCGUGGACCAGGCAGGCCGCAUCGCCCAGGCCCCGGAGAGCGGCCGCAGAGGCGGCAUCAGUAGCUGCAGCACCUUUCGACACCAGCGGGAGCUGGGGCAUCGAUCCCUGUGGCUCUGAGGCUGUGAGGUUGCGCACGCACCAUGCCCACGCCGCAGCACACGCCGGCCCAUGUCGAGCUGCGGCCACUGGCGCAAACGUGUCAGCGGCGGUGCCUUUGCUGGCCGCGUCUUGAGCUGCAGCUGCGGUUGAGUUGAGCAACCAGCAGCUGUACUGCACGAAUGCCGGGCUGGGCUUUCCGGCCUCAGCUGCACGCAGAGCGGUCGCCAGCUGGGGGUUCUCAGCUAGGGGCCCUUUCUUGCCGAUGAGGGGCGGUGCAAUGAGCUGAGCGAGGGCCUGCGCGCGCCGCGCGUCCGACUGUAGGCCGGCUGCUGGCUCUGCGCGGGCUGUGUCGAGGUCCCGCAGCUGCCAUGUGCUGGCAGCAGGCUCCUUACGUUGUCCAGGCAGGGCUACACGCAUGCGGCGGCGCAGCAGCUCUGCUGCCGCUGCAGCAUCUGGCGCCACGAGGCUGCCGUUGUGGGCUGCCUGAUACGAGCUACCGGACUUGUGAGCACCCAAGCCGGAGUUGAGCACUGCGAGCGCUUUGUUCAUCCGUAGGCUGGCCUCCCCGCUCACCACAGCUGCGGCCGUAGGUGCCCUAUCCUGGCCGUGACCGCGCAGCUGGCUGAAGGCGUUUUCAACACAGUUCUGGUUGAUAGUGCCGAGGAUGAUGCUGGUGCCACCGGUGCGCAGGUACCAUCGGGCCAGAGCCACCGUGCCAAAGCAGGUGACCUACAAGCACAAACGUGAAGAGCGACAUGUUGGUCACGCGCGACAUAGGGCGAACAUGCCAACAUCCCGGGCUUAUUAGAUGAACAUGCACCUGGCCAAACGAGCUGCAACCUGGAUUGCCGCACCUGGAAAUCGCUUUGGCAUUGGUGAGACAAGCCGUGGCGGACACCAGGCCGAAGGUCAUCAUCGUCAGGGGGCACCGCUUUCAGAGCCUGAUGCCAGUCGUAGACCACGGUCCCAUUGUGCAGUAGCUGGCGCAGAUGAGGGUCACUCGCGUCCCUGACAGGAGUGACUCGAUCUGUUGACAACUUGGUGCUGAGCGCAAGCCUGCAUAAGGGAAUUAGGAGAAAGAACGCUUGAAUCUACGUGGGGCGAGUAAAACAAAGCCCCCAAACAAAGCGCCCAGUAAUGCUCCGCACCUGACAUAUGGACGCAGAUCUCGGGCACCGUCAAUGAUGUGCUGUGGUGGGGCCUUUUGGUUGUCCCUCACCCAGCCCAUCUCCGCAGUCCACUUGCAGAACAUCUCAAGUCCAGCGAAGAGCUUUGACGCGAGAUGGUUCCGCAUGCGUGACCAAGAGUCAAGAUCCGUCAUAGCGUUGGUCACGUUGCCCAUGACACGGGGGAGGGAGUGCAUAUCCCAGCGCACACACUUAACAACGUCCCUCCACAUAAUCGGCCGCCAUCGGGGCGCGGGUACAGGUGGCGGCACCGGUUCGGUGUGCUGCGUGGUGACAGGCGGUGGUGGCGUGGGUACAGGCGGCGGCGGUGCGGCAGGCACGGGGAUGGGCGGCUGCGCGGCGGGCGGCAGCCCGGUAGGCGGCUGCGCGGCCACGGCCACGGGGAUGGGCGGCGGCGCGGCGGGCGGCAGCCCAGUGGGCAGCGGUGCGGCCACGGGCACGGGGAUGGGCGGCGGCGCGGCGGGCGGCAGCCCAGUGGGCGGCGGCGCGGUGGAUGGCGUGACGUCUUCGGGAAAGAAGACUUCAGACGUGUUCUUCCCAUCCUUGCCUGUGGACAGAUAUGAGCAAGCUGCGUCAUGUGUCAUCUACCACUGGUACAGAACUUUUGCGAUGGCCAAUGCCUCCGGUCUGCACUCACGACCACCUCCUACAUACAAGACCGGCGCCCGGCUUGCCUGUUCCACCAAAGCUCUUCUCGAUGGCGUUGCGCAUCUUCUUGAUCAGAUGCGGUGCAUCGGAAAUCAUGAUGACGGGGCGUUCGGGGUUGGCCGGGCUGCGGAAACAGCGUAGGCACUCUGUAACAUCCUUGUCAGGACAGGGCAACUUGAUUUCGGUAUCUGCAUGAAAGGGCAAUAAACGGGAAGUGGAAGUCAGAAGUUGGUUGCACCCGAGGCUAACAACACGUGUGACGCGCCAUCACUGCACGACACCGCACCUUUGGCUAACUGAACGGCCAGAUCCCUGUCGGCCAUCAUCUUCAUCCAGGCACGGUUCUCAGAAGCCCCGUCACAAACAGUGUACGCGACCUGCAGUCCUGCAGCUUCCAGAAGUACGAUGACCUCGGACACAACAGACUGGAGUUCCACGGCCUUGAUGCCGUCCGUGAACACAUAGCCUACUGAGUACCUGCAGAGGGAAGGAACGUACGGUAGUUUGGUCAUGAACGGGAGGCACGCAGCCUGGAGCACACAUCGUCCGGCGUGCACGGGGAGAGCCCUCACCGUGUCGGCCGCUCCCCAAGAGCUGUGACCUCAAAGUGAAGCACGUGAGUCGCCAGGGCACGGCACACACUCGGCGCAUCCGGGUCAGCUGAAGCAGCACCGCCGCUGCUAUCUAGUAGACCCUCCAGGCGCUGUGCAUACGCAGCGGCGUCGACAUCAGUAAAGCCCGUGAGCGAAUCUGAAGUAGUGCUGAACGUCAAGCCCCGAGACAGCUUCAUCUCGUCAAAAGCAAGGCCAACGCGCGUGUCUGCCUUGCCUGCCCUAAGGAGCUCUGCUGCUCGCUCUGCAUGCGCACGGUGAAAGCCGGAGCCGUCUAUAGCGAAGUGCUUGUAGGCCAGCAGCGUGUUGAUAGAUGGCAGCGGCAUGAAGGAUCGGAGCUCCUCAAACAGCCCUUCACCGCCCUUGUUCAGUACAGUCAGGCCCAGCUGAAUCGCACUGCAAGGGCACGGGACGAAUUACGGUACUGUUAGCCAGAUCCCGCACGCACCCAGCCCCGCCCACCCCUUCCCGACUCCAAUGAGCCCCACCUGUUAUGCCAGCGCAUUCCACGCGUUGCCUUGCCGCCAGACGCGGAGCGCCCCAGGUAUUCGAGCUGAUCAGCCCACAUAGCCGCCAAGCCAGGGUGCUGCUCUAUGACCUGGCGUGCUGCUGGCUUCUCAAGCAAGUGGAGUAGGGCGGAGCUGUGAUCAGCUGAUAACUCCCGCAUACGGGCUCGCGACUGGUCCAACUCCUCCGCGUAGCGCUCGCAGUCUGCCUGUAGCGACGUGUUGCGCGCCUGGAGCUGACAAUUCUCUUUCCGCGCCUGUGCCAGCUGCGCUUCUGCAUGCUGGUGUGCGUCCAGCGCGCUCUGCAGCUGCUCUGCAAUCCGGGCCUUGGCGGCGGCCUCCUUCCUUGCAGCUGUGGCGACAGCUGACGCCUGGCGCUGGGCAAAUGACGAGAGGGUCGACCUGAGCGAGUGGUUGUGAGCUUCGCAGCAUGGGCAGCGAGUUGCAUAGGUGUGACCGCUGACCAAGCCAUGGCACGCGAUACUGGGAUGCACGUCAAGUUUCUGAGUGGCAGCAGUCUCGCCACUGGCGCGGCUGCACGGAAGGUGCACGGUGCGCGACUCAGCCCGGUAACGCUGCAGCACAACUGACUCCGUCUCGUUGCAAGCUGCCUUGUGCGCCAGGUAUGGUGCAAAGGCAGCUGCAGUGGGACCGCCGGCACAGGGGCGGCAAGCCCCCAGAAACACCAAGGCGUCAGUGAGGUGCUGCUCCGUGCAGAGGCGCGGGCUGCUGGGUCCGUCAGGCGGCAUCUGCACUGUUGCAUGAGAGCUGAAAAUGCUGUAUGUGAAGUCGGGGUACAGAUGAAGCUGAAGCGAGUUGAGGUCGUGCGCGCAGCUGUUGCUGGGUUGAAACCGCAACACCAAGCCGUCACUUGCGUUGCGGUGCACGCUGCAGUGCCAGUCAUCCUGGACUGCGCGGUCCCACUUGGGGUCGCCUCGCUGCGCUCUGCCGUUGAAGCUGUGCAUGAUGCGUGCAAAGCGCUCAUGCUCAGGCAACUGCUCCAGUGUGCCUCCCUUUGCCUCCGUUGCUGCGGCUGCUGCUGCGUUGAGAAUGGUGGCGGGCGGGAUGUCCGUUUCGUACACAGACUGGUACACGGCAAGGGGAUCCUGCAGGGCAAUGGUGAGCACAGCAACGAGUUAGCAAUGUGUUUGGCAGACCGACGCGUGCAUCCAGCGCACCUGCAGACAAUUCCAGCUCUUGCAUACUGAUACACCCAACCCUUGCCCAAGCACCCAUCAGAGCCCGGUGCAAAGCCCAAACCAGAGCCAUUCACCUCUUGCUCGAGCAACUCCACGAGGAAGCUUCCCACGGCAGAUGCGGAAAAGUCACGAAUGAAGAUGCCGUACUUGGUACAGCGCUUCCAACCCCGGUCCCAUGCAGUUACUGCAGCGUUGCCCUUGCCCGUGCGAAAGUCUGACAGGAAACGUUCCAACUGCUUUGGCGUACAGGUCAAGUUGACCAGGUACGCAAACAGCGGCGCCACGCGCGCACAAACCUCGUCCGUCCGCGUGACGUUGGAAAGCGUGAUGUCCUUGUAGGUGGUGUCCUUGAACACGGCGUUGAGCAAAGAGUAGAAGAUAAUCUCCACGGCGGUUGGCGGCUCCAUAUGCGCACCGACCUUCUCAGUCCAUUUAGGCCGAUCCGCUGGCAGAAAGGACGAUGCAGGCGGAGGGAAAGGUGGCGGCGGCGGGUUUGGGAGUGCGGCCGUAGUUGGCCAAUGAAGUGGAGGGAGCGGGGGCGGUGGUGAGGGAGGCGGAAGAGGGGGCAGCGGCGAGGGGUGUGCUGGAGGGGGCGGUGGUGAGGGGUGAGAUAGAGGAGGCGGCGACUGGGGCGCAGGUGGGGGGAGUGGGGCGAGCGGCGGCAAAGGAGGCGGCGGUGACUUGGGUGGAGGAGGCAUAGGUACAGGCGCGGCGACAGCAGAGGGUGGCGGCAUUGGUGCAGAUGGCGAGGGUCCACCAGCUGGAAUGCUCUCCACUGCCGCACGGUUGAGAAGGCCAAGGCCAGGCCCGCUGUGGUUACUGGUGUCGGUGUUGAUGCCAACUGACAGAGCGUCAAUGGCGAUGAGGAGGUUGACCGCACUUGCAGCUUGCAUCACGGAUGCUGGUUGUGGUGGCGCCUGUGCUGCCGCAACGUGCGCGUGCAGCAGUCUCUUGUGCUCUCCGCGGUUGUCAACGGCACACUGAGAACAGAUCCGUGUGCCUUGCUUUGACCCAGAAGGAGGGAGGGUAAUGGCCAGCGGCUUCAGGUGCUGCUCGUCAUGGAAGCGGCCGUGCAGGUGGACUGGCUGGGGGUUUCUGCCGUUUGCCACGUAAGAACAGCAAUCGUUGGUUCCAUUGCAGUAGUCGGGGCGCAUGCCGCCCGUGGAAAGGGUGGCGAAGGGGUCCUUCGACUUGACGUACGUGCCGCACAGAACGCACCAGCCCUUCUCGACGCCCAUUGCAGCGAACGCCUGCAUGCACAACAGAGAACCCAAUUCAUACACCUCAGGUAACAGCAAGUAAUGGUUGCCCACGUCUAGGAAUGUGGGUCAACAUGCAAUCGGCACGCCACCACCAGACCGGGCGUUGUUAACCACAAGGAACUAGCCCUAUGUUGACCAAAUGCUCAUAUGAUAACAAAACACAAUGUGGGUAUGGCUGUAUGCGUGCGUUUGCCCGGGGCCAGUGCAUCCCGAUGCUGCGAGCUGACAUGGCUGGCGUGCCGUAGGUGCGCUCGGCCCUCCAUCCAGUCAAUCGGCAUCCUGAGUAUACUAGAAAUAGCGGAACGAGCCAAGGCAAACAAUUUAUGACGUGCAAGGAAUGUUGCAUGGCGCCCCGAGUUCGAAACUGCAUUGGUUAAACUGCAGUGCACUGCAGGUGCGAUGAUUUCUGGUGUUGAUGCAUGUGGUGCAUGUAGCGGGUACCAAAAGCUGGCCCCUCUGCACCCGGACCCCCGGUUCAAACUGCGAGCUAAAAUCCUGGACGCGCGGGCAACGCUUUGCAGAUUUCGACCCUGACCACCUCGUUGAUAUGGUAUAGGUAAUAGCGGAAAGGCUUGAUAUAGGUAUAAGAAGCAGCAGAGCGUUAAAAUGUGAAGCAAUCAAAGCCAGCGACGCCUCAGAUGAUAUGCCCGAUGCGCUAGGCUGAAUAUUGGAGCAAAGGAUACCCCAUAUCAUUCAUCGGAACAAGACUAAGGGCGGUGCCGGCGACCCUACCGUCAGAGCCAGCGCCCAGAGCAGCCAACAGCGACCGCCUUGUCUGCUUCGCUCCAUCUACUUCGUAACACUUCUAGAUGGUCACCUGGCGCACCGGGCGCCGCAUGGAGGCUGGAAAUGCGGUAAUGCUGUUCAAAUGGUCAAGUUUCGUCAAAGGCCAGUAAACUAGUCGCCCGGCGCGCCAGGGGUCUUCUAUGGGGUACUCCUUAUAGGUCUAUGCAAAGAAAUCGGGCCGGGGCCUGGUCGCAACUGGGAAUUGGGGGCGGUUGCCGACCGUUGCCGAUCACAUGGGGCGAGUUGGCCACCCCGCACCCCUGGGUGCUGGUGGAGGUGAAGGCCAGGGGGGCCAUGGAAGACGCAGCCGUGUCUUGUCGGCCGCCUCUACAAUGCAGCAGUUUGACUGAGGCGGAGCGGCUCGGGUUAUUUGCUGCGCACGCGGUCCUGGAGACGCUGCUGCACGCCCAUCGCGACGGCACGUGCACCACGUCACACAGCAAGCAUGCCACGGACAGCAACUGCCGCAUGCGGCUGCCUCGGAUGCUGCACUGGCUCACCACGUACCUGCACAAGCAGUCGGUGUGCGUGCACCUCAAGCGGUAUGGCCGCUACAUGGUCUCGCAUAUGGUGGCCCUGCUGCUGGCAGUGCCUUGCAAUCACACCGUCACGUUUGCGUGUGACGUGGGGCGCUGGCUGCGCACGCGCGAGCUAUGGGAUCAGCGGCACGAGGGCAUUCCGCGCCCGGACCCUGUGUGGGAGCGGCGGCCGCAGCUGCCCAGCCUUGAGCAGCUUGCCGCGGACGCAGCGGACUAUGCCCUGAAGUAUGCCACCAAGUCUGAAGCAGUGCAGGGCAGCAGGGCCCUUAUAGCCACAGCCACCAUGCUGCGGCGGCGCAUGCACCUCAUGACGCCAGAGCAGCAGGCCGGGAUUGAGAGUGAGCACCUGCCGAUCCAGGACGUGCUGGAUCAGCUACGGCAUCCCUUCGCAGCCUUUGCGGACGCCAGCGCCUCUGCCUGGGCGCCCCAGCCUCCUACUGCAGGUGUGUCAGCUGCAGGUGAGAGCAGCACGCUGGCACAGGCGCAGUUCACGGCGGAGGUGACGGCGCGCGCACAGCAGUCCGCGACUGUGGCCGCGCUGCGCACUGCGCGGCCUGUCGGCGUAGUCGGCGCGGCUGCGGUGCAACGGGAGGGGAUGUUCAACCUUGCGCACGCCAUCAACCUGUUAACAGCCCAGCAGACCUUCUCCGCUCCAGCAGCGGCGCUGCUGCUGAUGCGGGGCACCGACGCGCACGAAAGCCACCAGUUCAGGGCCAUCGAUUACAGGAUGUUCUCGCAGCAUGUGCAGUCGCAGCUGAAGCGCGCGGACCCGGAGCUCAGGCCCAGAGACACCCAGCUGCGGCUCGUGCGUACAAUGGCCAGCGUUGGAGCGGGCGGGAGUCCGAGAGGGGAAGGCCAGCUUCCGGCCGCCAGCACAAUCGCUAGCGAUGUCCCAGAUCCCGGGCCCAGCGGAAGCGUACAGCAGCAAGAGCAGCCCGCCGUCGCACCUGCUCGUUACCGGUCAUCAAGCUACCUGAAAGACUACCUGUACCGCGGCGAGGCGCUGCGCGAGCUGUCUCCUAUGAUGAUGGCCAUGUUGUUUUAUAAGGUACGAGGUUGCGUGCGCGGCAGCUUGCACGCCUGGAGUUAUGGGGUGCAGGGGUGUUCAGUCUAUUCAGUCCGUAGGUUCGCAUGUGUUAUAAUGUCUUGCAGCAGCACUUCGGCAGGGCCCAGCGGCAAAGAACUGUAUGUGUGCCCACCACCCCGCAGCACUCGGCCGGGCCAGAUGGAGCGCAAGGGCACCAUCUGCGCCUGCAUCCCGCGCACCCAGAGUACAGUAAAUGCGUGUGGCGGCGCCGGCUGCGGCCGUACGUGCCGCAGCCGGUGUGUGACCCCGUUGUGCGGCCUGCGGACGGCGUGGACGAUCCGCAGGUGCUGGAGCGCUAUGCACUGUUUGCGCUCGCGAACUUCGCCGCCUACAGCUGUGACGACAUGCUCGAUCUCAGCAACGGCGCAUGGGCAGCUUAUCAGCGGUGCUUUGCACAGCCGGCGGACGGCCAGUCGCUGCAUGUGCGCAUCGCGUGCCGUAUGCUCGAUCACGUGGAUGGGCUUGCGCGUGUGCGAAUGCGGGCGGAGGAGCGGCGGCAGCUGCAGGCGGAGGCGGAGGGCACCGCUGAGGAUGCGGCGGAGGAGGCACUGUUGGAGGGCGUGCCGGUGGAGGGCAUGGACGACCUGGAGGCAGAGCCGCAGGAUGAUGAGGAACCCGAUGUUAGGCGUAGCGCAGCGCCCGCAGCGGAGCUCUGGCAGGGUUGUGCGCUAUCGGAGACGGAACGGGCAGGGCUGCUGCAGCGCGUUGUGCACGGCGGCCUGGGUGGCGGUCUGACUACAGAGGCGACCACCGUGGUUGCCCAGAUCCCGCGCGCCAAUGCAUGGCCAGCGGUUGGGCGUACAGCGGCGGCGGCAGUAGUGCGCAGCACACAGGAGUGGACGCACGAGCGGCUGGCUGCAGCACAGCAACGCAUGCAUGAUUACGACCUAGUAGACCUAGGUGGGCAGUACGCCGCACAGGCGCUCGCGCAGGCGCAGGGAGCAGUGCAGCAGCAGCUGCUGCUUUACAACAGCGGCACUGCGGCAGUGACAGCGAAGCUGGUGCUCAUCUCGCCAUUGGCGGUUACCACAGCCGUCCCAGAGGUGCAGGGCGUCUGGCCCGAUGCAGCGAACCCUGGUGCAGAGCCGCCGUACGUGCUUUGCCCGGAGGACUCGCAGCCGACGCCUAAAGACACAGCGCGGUUAUGGAACCUCAGCGACGACCAGCAGCAGGCGUUCAUGCUGUACGCGCAGCUCCUGCUAGCAGCGGCUGCCGGCGUCCGUCAGCCCCCCGUGUGCUCGGUGCUCACGGGCAAAGCCGGCAGCGGCAAGUCGCGGGUGCUGCAGGCAUUGCUGUGGUUUGCAUACCAGCACCGCUGCGAGUCUCUCAUUGCCCUCGUGAGCUACACGUGGCGCGCUGCGCUGCAUGUGAGUUGUGUGUGGGGUGUGUGGGGUGUGUGGUGCAAGAGGGGUUCAGUUCUGAGGUGAAGUGUCGCGGCGGUGGACUGGUCCUGCUAGUCCUGCUCGUGCGUGCGGGGGGGUUUAGCAGCCAGGGAGCCUUACAUGAUCAUGCUGUUGACUUCGGCCGCUGCCAUCACGGUCCAUUUACAGGACUCUACGCCAGGCGUGCUCGGCACCAGCACCACGUCCUUCUUUGCGACUGCUGGCACGUUUGGUCCGCCUCACCGCGAUCGAGUCGAGCGCAACCUCAAUGGUGUGCGCUUCAUUUUCCUAGAUGAGUUUAGCACGUGUGGGCUGUCCCACUGGGCGCGCAUUUGCAUGCAUGUGCACGCGGCACGGAGGCACGUGGGUAUAGACAGCACGCACCUAUAUCACGGGCCGCUGUCAGAUCUGCAUGGCCUGCUUGUUGGCGACUUGCGUCAGUUGCCACAGCCACGGCACGUGCCGCUAUAUAGCGGUGCUGCGGAGGAGAGCUUGCGGCGGCUGCUGGCGCCGGGCGCGGGGGACGGUGGGGCCAUGGAGCGCCAGAUCCGGCAGCUGGAGCAUCCGGAGGGCAGCAUGAACCUCAUGGGGCGGGAGCUGUGGAAUAUGGUGCCGUUCGCGUUCGUUCUCACUCACCAGCAUCGGCAGCAAGCAGGCGUAGGUGACAACAACGAACCUCUCUUCAUGCUAGCGGAGAAGUUUGGUGGCGUGCAGGAAAUCUCUCAGGCAGAUUUGGACACAGCGUGCGAGCAGCUCAACGCGCGUGUUUGGCGGCCCCCGAAGCCAGGGAUUGACCCCGUGCCCCAGCCCUUUGCAGUUGUCCAGCGCCAUGUCGUGCGGGUUCCACUGGCAUUGCAGCUCGUGCAGCUGCAUGCGCUCGCGCAGCGUCAGCAGCUGCUGCUGUGGCGUAGCGCGGACUUGUCGCCUGACGGGAGCAGCUUACCUAUUUCGCAUGUGCAUCAAUUAGAGGCGCUUGGCGGAGCCGACGAUGAUAGUGGUGUGCCCGCUGUGUGCGCAUUCUUUGCUGGCAUUCGUUACGUGUUUACAUCAAAUGAGCAUGUGCGUCUGUAUCACAUCAACAACAACAGUGCCACAGGCACCGGCAUUGUUCUGCAUCCCAACGAGCCACCAUUGCCAGAUGCAAGCAUUGCCCCCGUGCAUGUCCUCAAGUUCGUGCCCUCGGCUGUAAUGGUGCGCCCUGACGGGCCUGAUGCGGGUCGGGUGUCUGUCGAUCAGGCCCUGGAUGUCGGGGAGAUUCCUGUUUUACCGUGCAGUGCUAUGUUCACAUCGCAGCAUGCAACCCUGCGGUUGCCUGUGAUGCGCUGGGGCUUUCGUGUGGAGCUUGCAUAUGCAGUCACUGAUUACUUUGCGCAGGGGCAAACUCUGCCACCGCACGAACUGUGGCUGGUGGAUAUGUGCAAACCGCAGCACGGCAGUUGGCGGCGGGCUUCAAUUUACGUAAUGCUCACCAGGUUUCGUGGGUUGCAUGCGUUACAUUUAGUGCGCCCGCUGUGGGCCUCGCGGGCCGAAGAGCGCCGGCUUGAAAAGGCGCUGCGUACCAUGCUAACGCCCGAGGCAGAUCUAGCUGCGGAAUGGCAGCGGCUAUUGAGGCUCUCGCAGAGCACAGCAGUAGCGGUGCCAGGUAUGAUUGUGCGCAUUCAGGCCAGCAUGGCUGCCUCAUAACCAAGGCCUUCAAUGCAUGCAUGGUUGCAACAUCUGGCAUGUGGCGGUAAACACUGGGUUGUCCUGCGUCCCGGCCAGCAAGGAUAGCGUAGUGUUUUUAACAUGCGCGAGGUGUACUGACAGAUGACCUGGAAGCGUGGAGUACCUUGUGGGUGGUGAGUGCUGACUGCAAUUUACAGCAGUGACUUUCUUGUUGGUGUUUGGUGUGGUGACCAUCAUGCUUGGCUUCGCUGGCUGGACGUAUGUCACUGAGCUGUUUGACAGACAGGCGUAGGGCAACGUGUACGUUCGGGUUUAGUUUCUACCUGUCCUGUCUCUGCGUGAAGCCGGGGUAUUGUUUAUCUGCUUGCUUGUCGUGCGUUGGAUUGUUGCGUGUUUACAACAGGUUGAUGUGUGGCCUGGUUAAUCCCUUGCACUUUGAUGAGGUUAUUGUUAGCCAGCGGGUGUUCGCACACGCGGGUACCACCAGGCGGCUGGAUGGGGUGUACGGGAGCCCCUUCUUCCGCGGGCCUUUUCACUAUUAGCAAUAACUCGUACAAGGAUGCUGACCCGACCUAUCCGCUAUUGCCCGUGGUGAAAACUGGGCUGCCGUCCGGGGGGUGCGUUUUCCCAGCCAAACCCGCACGUUGGACGUUGCCCCGGGGCAAAUCCUACCGCACGGAUUAGACAACGCCUUUCUGUAGGUACAUAACCAACAUCAUCAUCAGCCAGAAGUGGUCGGCAAAGGUCCAAAUUAUGCUUAUCAGGGCUCAAGUCGCGAAAUUGACCGAAGCCCAUACCUCGCAUAUGCGCUGUUUGGGGCCUGAAUCUAUUGCUGUCGACAUUAAUUCUCGUAUAGAUGUAAUCAAAAUAGCUUCAGGCUAAGUUGGCGGGGUCCUGGCGAGCGCGACAUAUAGCAUUUCAACUUGAGCUCUCGCUCAAAAUUAUGCCCGAGCACCAUCCAGGGACCUUAUUAUGUGUAAUGGGAUGUCAAUUCAUGAUCGGGGCGACAGUCUGGGCAUAGACCUUGCGAUCCCGCCCUUGACUCCCCCCUAACCUCACCGACCCCCCUUAAUCCCCCCCCCCCUAAUCCCCCCCCGCACCCACCUGGCCCCUGUACCCUGGCCAGCCCAGAAAGCCUUGUAAUAGCUCCCAAAUGUGGUGUGUAUUACGUGGGAACACAGGGGCGAGAAGUCUGGGGCGAGGACUGUGGGGUCCUUGGGGUGGCCUCGCACCUUGCCGACCCCCUGGACCCCCCAGUAACCCUGACGGCCGAGCUGAGAGCGCCGCGCUUCCUGAGCUGUAAAAUUACUUUAGUAAUGUAGUUGCAUGUAGUGUAUGCUUCCUGAGCAUAGGAAUGCAGCUGAGCAGCUGGCUGUGUCGACCGAGGCAGCAAUGAUCCCCUCCGGUCACUGCUGUCACUCGGCGCAUCGCUUUAGCGGUUGAUAUCAAUAGUCUGUUAUGCAUUUAGUGUACUUGUCGCAGAAGUGCAGGCUUUCCGGGUGUCUUGGAGAAAGUGGUCGCGCGUCCCCCGGCCGGGUGAUGCAAACCCAUCUUCGUCAACUCGUCGAGUUGUGUACUUGAACUUAGCCACACUGUCCAUAUUGACUAAUGCCUAUAAAAAUCAAUCAGGGGUCAACCCCACACGGGUAUGACGCCGGUCUGGAGAGGGGCAAAAACGUGUCCACACGUGUUUCUCCGCGCUCGCGCAGAUUUAGCCUCCCUCUCUCCGGAAUUAAGUUAUAUGACAUAUAAGGAUGCAAAAGAUGCCUGUCGGCACAUACAUUUCGCGAGGCAUGCUUUCGCCAGGGUCGCACUGUAAAGCCCCUGACCAUCUAAUCAGCCUUAUAACGUAUAGCAUAGUCGACGGCAAUCUAGUUUGGCGUUAAAGCAAACGGUCUGCGCGAGCUUGUCGAGCAUGUUGACCGCGACAUCACUUACUCGGCCACAAACAAGAUAUUUGAGGUCUCAGUAGUAUUAAACAAAUAUGGAUUGAACGCCGGUAGCUAUUUCAGUGGUCGACCCGACCACCGUGUCCGACCGUGCCAAGCAGGCCGGAACGCACCCCCCGGACGCCAGGCGGUUUUUAAGCUACUUGGCGAUGAGGAUCAGACAGAAGCACGUCAGCCACGUAUGUUCCCGAGCUGCUGCCAAAAGUUGGGGUCUGAUCCGCAUCGCAAACCCUGUCAAACACCACAUGCCGUUUUACCCCUUUUCCAGACCGGCGUCAUACCCGUGUGGGUCAACCCCGACACCCAAAGCCGUCCAGGAGUGCAGAGUACUUUACAUCACCGGGUUAGGCCGUUUUCUCCUUCUUACAUCCUUCCUAGUACACUAAGUUAGAAGCUUACAUCCGUAGUACAAUAGGUUAGAACGCAGAGGAUGAGGUCUGGCCAAGGAGCAACAGCCGGCCCGGCCGGUGGUCGUUCGGCCACACCACUUUACUCCGCCCUGCCUCGCCCUGCCCCGCCCUGCCCCGCCGUGCCCUACCCUGCCCUGCCCUUAGAUUAGAUGCACCCUACGGGACUUUACCAACCUGCCUUACCACUGUCCCAUCGCACGGGACGGGCGUCAGCUGCACCCUAUGGGACCUCGCCAACGUGCCUGAACCCUGUCCCAUCACACUCCCAUCGCACGCCCUACCACGCCCUACCCUGCCCUGCCCUGCCCCGCCCUGCCCUGCCCUCAACCCGCCCCGCCCUUUCUCCCUGUGUCCCAAACGUAAUGGCAUGUACUGUAGCGGUGCUGAGCACACCAAAGCAGCCAAGCAGGUGGCUGCAUAGACCAAAGUGGGUAGGAGCCCUCACAGUCACAUCCACCACAGGCGUACCAAUUCUGCGACUUCAUUAAGUAGUCUCUUACACACAUAGAUUAUUCGGCGCGAAUCCUGGGUCAAUCCUGGAGGCUACGAGAAAGUCAUUUGGGCGUCCCCCGGCGGGGGGACGCGAAAUCAUCUUUGUCUAAACGUCAAGUAGCGAUGUGCUAUAUCGCAAUUCUGCUUCCAGAGGUAAAUCUGUAUAUAGUUAAUGCACUAAGACCAGCUCUUACCCCACGGGAACGACCAACGUCAUAAUUCUCAAGGUUUCAGUCGUGUACCCACCGCUCUUUCGCAGUAUCAGAGCCACAAUAGUCAUGUUAUAGUACAUAGCCGUAAAGUAAACACAAUUUUGCCCGGGACCCUGGCUUGCCAUGCGCCCAUGCAACGUCGGCGGCAUGCCAAUCAAGCAUUUCAGGAGUUCACUUCAUUUCUCUGCAGUUCUGCGUUCAUACUAUAUCUAUGUCACAUACAAAUGAAUCAAGCUAUUUGAUUAAUCAACCAUUCUUUGCGUCGCUAUGAUUCUGAGACGACUGUGCUCGAGCGGCGGAUGCCUUCGUUCGCGAUAACCCCUGUCGACUAUAUGCAGCGACAGUGCCAACAAUGCAAUCUUGAAUGGAGUAAUGAAGCUGGCUGGCUCAUAUUUCAUAAUAACGAGCUCGCUGGUCAACAAGUCAACCGCGCGUUGACCGGGGCGUUUCCACUCUGCAAAUGGGCCCGGCAUAGUGCCCUGUGAUUGCUGGCUCAGGUAAUAUGUGCAUUGCACUGAGACAAUGCCCAGAGUUGGUUUUAUGUACAUACUGUGCGGGUCCACAAGUCAACAUUCGCGCGCGCUCGCUUGUCGCCCGCAGGUCUCUGAGCCAGGCGCAAUGGCGUACAUUAGCUCAGGGUCCGCCGUGCGUGCGCCCGUUUUCACGGCUGGUGUCAAGGUUGCAGGUUGGGCUGCGAGCUGAUGGCGCGUGGUCUCAAUGCCCGCCGUGCUCGCGCCCCUUCCCGCGGCUGGUGUCAAGCCCGCAG